rnacentral:rRNA from 1 species
GAUGAACGCUGGCGGCGUGCCUAAUGCAUGCAAGUCGAGCGAACAGAUGAGGAGCUUGCUCCUCUGACGUUAGCGGCGGACGGGUGAGUAACACGUGGAUAACCUACCUAUAAGACUGGGAUAACUUCGGGAAACCGGAGCUAAUACCGGAUAAUAUAUUGAACCGCAUGGUUCAAUAGUGAAAUACGGUUUUGCUGUCACUUAUAGAUGGAUCCGCGCCGCAUUAGCUAGUUGGUAAGGUAACGGCUUACCAAGGCAACGAUGCGUAGCCGACCUGAGAGGGUGAUCGGCCACACUGGAACUGAGACACGGUCCAGACUCCUACGGGAGGCAGCAGUAGGGAAUCUUCCGCAAUGGGCGAAAGCCUGACGGAGCAACGCCGCGUGAGUGAUGAAGGUCUUCGGAUCGUAAAACUCUGUUAUUAGGGAAGAACAAAUGUGUAAGUAACUAUGCACGUCUUGACGGUACCUAAUCAGAAAGCCACGGCUAACUACGUG